CGUUUUCGAUGGUAUUUAAGCCACGGUGGAAAUUAAAAUCGCAUAGUUCUGAACAAGAUUAGACACUGUCAAUACCUCAUAAAAAUGGUCAAGUUUUUGGUAAUUAUGGCGACAUUGGUGGCUGCGGCCCUAGCUUACCCUGGUGGCGGUAGCUUCGAUGGCCACGGAAGUCACAGUAAUGGCGGUCACGACGAUGGCCAUCACGAUGGCCACGGCCACAGAGGAAACGACGAUUUCGGAGGCGGCCAUGGAAGCUACGGCCACGAUAGUCAUGGCCACGGAGGUCAUGGA